ensembl:lncRNA
GUCAGGCAGAUUUUAGUUGAAAAGCAUUUCCGGUCUAAGAACGCUUUUUUUGAUCCAGCAGGGAUCACUUACAUGAGUGCCGAUGGCCAUCUUCUUCCACGUUGCUCAUCUCGCAAAUAUUAAUGUGCUGGUUGACUAAGAAAUCGAGACUCAUCAGACCAGGCAACAUUCUUCCAGUCUUCAACUGUCCAAUUUUGCACUUCCGCUGGUUUGACUUCCUCUCUUCUGGACUAUUUGCGAGAAGGUACCUCCAAAUUAGAUGGCAAUGUAAAAUCUGUGGAUUUAGAGCAACAACAAGGGGAGAUCUUCUGUAACAUUAGACUACAGCACAGGACGUUUGAGGUUGGAAAUUCAGUACAUUGCCUCUGUUACGAUUGUCCAUGCUCCUUUAGAACAUUGAGAGCUCUGUACACACAUUUGUCAAGAUAUCAUGCAGAAGAUGAAUCUUGGGGGCCAGGAGUAGCUUUCUAUUUCACGUGUUAUUUGCUCAGGCAAAUGAAAAGGAAUAUUUCCAACACCAUGGCAAUCACCUAAGGAGUCAUGAAACUGUAGUGUGCGUUUUUGUUGGAUGUACAUUUAAGACAAAUAUAUGUGGAACAUUUAUUACGCACAAAAGCAGAAUUCACAACCCUCAUUCACUCGAAGACUUUAAGCCAGAUGUCAUUGGUGGACACCAAACUUUACCAAAUGAAUCUGAUUGUUUAGUCUCAGGGGAUAGUGAUUAUGAGAAUACCAGUAUUAAGCCUCCUGUGGAUAUAUCAGAUGAAAUUCACAAAAUAAUUGGGUCACUUCUUUUGAACUUGGAAAGUGUGUGCAAUGUUUCUGGUAAAUUGAUGAUUUGGUGAAGGAGCUUUUUAUAUUCACAGCUUCUGCUCCUGUAAUUUGUCAGCAUGUUGAUGCUAGUUUGAAGAAGUUUAAUUGUGCUGUAGAUGAGGAAAUUGAUACUAAGUUGGUAGAGGAACUAUGCAAGUCACACCCUACAAGCAAAGCACUGGGAGUAGAUGGGCCCAUUGGUUCUUUGUAUAAGAGAAGACAGUAUUACAAUUAACAGUUUGAGUUUGUUGAAACUGUGUUUCCUUGAUUCACAGGAGAAUCUCAGCUUUCAAUAAGUGCCCCUUCUUCAGACCUUGCAGCGUAUAUUGACCAAUAAGGAUAUUGCACUUAAGGUUUUAACAAAACAAACCAAGCACAUCCACUUGGUAUGAAUCCUUUCAAGAUAGGGAAUUUUCCAAGCAAAAAUUCAUUUUUCACUGUAGAGGAACAAUUCAGAGUAGCAUUCAUUCUCAAUGUUGAUUUUGAGGUUUUUAACCCAUUAGGAACAUCAUGUAAAAAACACAAGAUCACUGCAGUUUAUUGGGCCCUGGCACCCCCUCGACAGCACUCUUCACUUUCUGCAAUAUACUUGUCAAGAGUCACUUCACUUUUGUUAGAUGUUACCCUCCUGACCUACUCCAUGACCUUUUUGUAGGCAUUGCUUUUUCAGAAUUGGCACACUGUCUGAAUACUUUCAUUAAGAACAAAUACUUCACAUUGUCAGAACUUAAUGACUUAAUUAAGCAGUUGCCUUUUAAGUUUACAGACGAUCGUAACUGCCUUCAGUCCAUCCCACUAACUUUUGCUAGUUGUUGUAAUAUAGGAAGAAAUGCUCAUGAGAACUAGGCACUCAUAAGGUCACUUCCACUAAUCAUUGGAUCAAGAAGAGCCUCGCUGUGGCCCCUUUCCACUCCCUUGAAUGUGUUACCUUAUUUUGACCUGAAAAUAUGAGUAUCGUCAUAGAUUACAAGACGUUUUACCUCAGCUGAGAUUGACAACCAAACACCAUUUUUUAGAGCACUAUCCUGCACUUAUAGAAGCCUUUGGUCUUCUUGUUGGAUUGUGGACUAUGCACUUUGAGGCCAAACACAGAUUCUUUAAACGUAUAGUGAGGUUCUCAAGCAAUUUCAUGAAUGUCUUAUUGUCACUUUCAACAAAACAUCAGCUGAUGAUGGCUUACAAUUGGCAAAGAAAGAUGGCUAAGCCUGCCCCGAUAAUCAGUAAAGUGUCAUCUUUGCCUUUGGAAUUACUGCAUGUUGAAAUCCAGAAGUCCAUUAAGAAACUGUUCCCCCAGCUGAUAAGUGUACAUUUGUCAAACACUGACUUACCAUGGAACUAGGUAUUCAGCAGGGAUGACUCUUUCAUCCGGAAUAUCAGAAUCCAUGGAGGAGCUAAACUUGACUAUCAAGCAGACAUAUCACCAAUGACUUCAGCCUGCAAUAUUUUUAUCCAGAUUUUGAGGACUUUUUUUUUACUCUCAACUCCACUGCUUAAACACAAAUCCACAAUUUAAGGUUGUGACAAUCGAACCAGUUGUGCUCAAUUUGUAUUCAGUACCACACAAUAAAAGCUACACUGGAAGUGGCAUCUCAGAGCAAUCCCUUGAUGCUGCCUUGACAAGUGCCACUGCACAAGACUCCCUUGACGCAUGUGAUUCAUCACGCACAUCACCCAGGCAGCUGAAGUAUACCUUUGAGGUAUUCCAAAAACGUUUCUUGGAACUGGAUGCUUCAAAGCUGUCAAAAGAAGUCCCUCCAGAGCAAACUUCUGGCUUGACGUGAGACUGUGGUGGUAGUGUAGUCAGAUUAAGGUUAUAAUGCACAGUUCCAGUUGCACUGAAUUACUUUUACAACCUCAGCUUUUCUUCUUAUAUGUGUAUUGUCGUCCUUGAUUAUUAUUCUAUAUUGCUUCUGAUGUUUUGCAUUAAAUGGAGUGGAAUUAUGUAUUCAUGUCUGUCUUUGUUUAAUUGUAUUAUAAUUUACACAUCAUUUGAUACGUGUAUUGAUAUCUUUUUCAUUCAAGCAACAUGUUGAACAUUUCAACCUAUAAUUAAGGUGCUGUUUUUGUCACUUCAGGAGUUUACAAUAUUCAGUGUUUAACGAAUUCAGAUGUAGGCUAUUCCAAAAGCUUUUCGUGAGACUGGAUGCUUCAAAUCUGUGAAACAAAGCCCCAUCCCUCAAGCACACUUCUGGCUUGACAUGAGACUGUGUUGGCAGUGUAGUUGCAUUAUAGUUAUAAUGCACAGUUCCAGUUGUAUAGAAUUACUUUUUAAACUUCUGCUUUUUUGCUUCAACGAUUGUCUGAUUGAUUAUUGCUUCUCAUGUUUUGGCUUAAAUUCAGUGGUAUUAUUUACUAAUGUCUUUCAUUGUUUUAUAUAAUUUGAUAAUUGUAUUAUAUCAUUUGAUUUAUGUAUUGACUUAGUUUUUCAUUCAAGGGCUCAACAUUUUGAACGUAAUUGCAACAUUUAAAAUAAAGUGAAGUGUCC